UUGUAAGCUGUGACCAAAACAAAGGAACAUUUUUUGGGUUUUCUUUCACGGUUUGUUGGUCUGUUAUAACAAAAAUCAAAAGCUUAAAAUAAUAAUAUAACUAUACUUAAAUAUUUAAUCUUAACUGGGUUUAACCGCGAUAAAAUCUUAAACAGCUACUUAAUGUGCAAAGGAGAUUAAAACGAGUAACAUGAUAAACAUUUCUACUUAAAACAUUUCUACACUUACAUGAAAGAUUUUUUAAGCCCGAGUGUGCACUCCCACAGUAUCUAAAUUCCUAUACAUAUUAUGUACGUAUAUAAAUGCGAUACAAUGUGAAAAGUAAAAUAAAGAUAAUUAUUAAGUAUUAAUGUUAGUAAAAAUAAUAUACCAUCUCUGAACAGUGCACGUUUAAAAAAAUAACCUAGAGAUUGCGUUAGUAUUUAAUUUAUAAAGAUGUGUAAGGCAUCUGAUAGUUUUGUACUCAAUAAUACUUAUUGUUUUAAUAUAGAAAUUGGGGCUUUUAUAAAUAGGAACCCUUGUAUAUUUACUACUUCUUAAUCAUGUAUUUCAUCCUAAUAUUAUAGAAAGAGAAAAUUCGAGGGAAAACGUCAAUGGUGUGUAUUCUACCUGUUAAUUUAUUUCACACCAGAGAUUUGGGUACAAACUACAAACGAACAGGCAUCAACGACAGUAUUUUACUAGAGUUGGAUACAGGCAGAGCGAACGAGAGCAACCGCCGCGCGUCGGUACAUCAGAUUCGCUGAUGUUCAUUCUAUGGGGGAAACAAGCGAAGGCGAGCAAGCGGUAUUCAUAGGCGAAACUGACUAUUAACUAAUCACCCUCGGUCUUAGUUUACCCUUGUUCAUUCUACCUGUACCAGCCUUAAUAUGAGCAGUCUUUGGUAAAAGAUUUUGAAUGCUGUCUUUAAUUGUUUAAUAGGUACAUGGCUUAAAUACAACAUUCAUAUUUCAUUGCCCUUACUAACAAAAAUAUUUAGCCACUGCUUAAACAAUGGCUAACACACAUUUCUGUCAUA